ensembl:lncRNA
ACUGAUUAAUCAGACUUCCUGGCAGUGGUUAUAUGAGGAGGAUGACUGAGAAUUUAGUAGCCCUCUAAACUGCGCAUGAAUGCAAUGAGGUGCAUCACAGAAUUACAGAGUGGAUGAGGUUGGAAGGCACAUCCGGAGAUCAUCUAGUCCAACCCCUAUGCCGAACAGGGUCACCUACAGCACGUUGUGCAGGAUGGCAUCCAGGUGGGUUUCGAGUAUCUCCAGAGAAGGAGACUCCACAGCCUCUCUGGGCAACCUGUCCCAGUGCUCCAUCACCCUCACAGUAAAGAAGCACCCCCUCAUAUUCAGCCAGAACCUCGUGGGCUUUAGUUUGUGCCCGUUGCCUCUCAUCCUCUUGCUGGGCUCAGCUGAAAAGAGACCGGCUCCAUCUUCUCGACACCCUCCCCUCAGGUAUUUAUACACAUUGAUGAGAUUAGUGAAUGAAGUCCUUACACGUGAUAAAUCGGUGACAAUCUCUUUUCUCUCCUAUGUUCUCACCAGACUCUGACCUUUUACAGAUACGCAGUCAGAUGUUGCUUCUACCAAACGUAGAGCUGCAAAAACUGGAGCAUCUCUCACUGACAGCCUCUUUGACUGAAGUGCUGCAGAAAGUCCUCCAGUGUGCAAGCCCAGAAGAUGUGUUUAUGUGUCUGGUCAUCUCUGGAAUGCGUGGCUGCAAAGCGAAAGGCUGGGAAACUCUUGUGGGGUGGGACGGCUGCGCUGGCGGUGACCUGCCAGCCCCGACAGACGCAUUUCUGACUGUGGAGAAGGAAAUCUGGUGCCGAGGGGCUUUGGCAUGCCCGAGGGAUGCCCUGUGCCACCCCACAAGUCAAAAAGCUCAUCGGGCACUGCGAUGCGUCGGGAGGAGAGGUCCACGGUGCAGCAUCCAGACUGUUGGGACUCUUCGUGUGCUUCCUCCACGGGCUUCGAGGUGAUGGGGUUUUGGGGUCAAGGUGGACCUUGCAUCUCCUGGUGGUUGCUCGAGCCCUUCAGCGCCUCGCAGCCGGCACCCAGUGUUUUGCAGGAUGGGGUUUCCGCCGGCUGAAGAGGAAAAAAAUCCCAAUCGCGCAGGGCUUCUGCGUGUGCAAAAGGUCUGCUAGAGAACUGCCGAAGCUAAACUGAUCACACAUGUCCUUCAGCUUAGGAGAGGGGAGCUCUAAGUGAGAGCAUGUGUGCUCUGAGUCCCGGGCUGAGAAAAUGUCAGUCUCAGGCGCUUGGGAAGUUCAUAUUGAUACAAACAGGGAGGCUCCCUGCUGCCCACAGAUUUCCCACAUAAAAGUCCUACUGGUAGCCGUGGGAACUUCGCAGCAGCCACGCUGUGGCUAAAGUCACCGCUCUGAAAAUGCAGUGAAAUUAGUGUUCAUAAAAGUGAAAAACACGCCACAAGAAUGAAGACGUUCUGAUUCACAGCCAUGGAAAUUACAUGAGCUCUGGCAUAGAAAAAAGCUGCAUUUUGCUGUUAUCCUGGCGUCAGAAAGGGAUUGCUGGUGAAUUUAAAAAAAAAAGCCUCUUUGAGCAAAAAAUCUUUGCCUUUUUUGCAAAUGAUUUUUUUUUCCCACCAAAACACAAAAAAGCCAAGCUGUGUCCAUUAUGCCCUGUGGAAAGGGCAGAUCCUGCGCUGCACAGUGGCCUCUAGUGAAGCUGAGCAGUUUGCUCCAGAACCUGUGAAAUAAUUUCCAGCAGCUGGUUUGUUACUAAUUUCAGUUCUGCCUUUCGGUCUGACCGUCACCUCCCCCAGCCUAUGCCACUCGCGCCGUAUAUUUUUAAGGAAAACAAAAAAGAAAAACACGGCAGGAUAUGAUGGGGCAGUGGGUUUGUUCUGGUGUGACUUGAACAUGAAGCUGGGAUCCAGAGUAAAAGGUAAUGCUAGCAGUAAAGCAGCUCUUAUGGUUUAACAGUAUUAUUUAAUACUAUUUGAAGUUCCUUUUUUUGACC